GAGAAAUAUAAACAUUAGUCGUUCGGAACGUUUGGAAAUUCCCAGAAUUCUAAUUACUGAAACAACAAGAGACAUAACACGUUUCUCAUCGAAAAUUAGACAGUGGAACCGCGAACGGAACGAAACAGACUAGUACACCGACCAGAGAACCUAGACGAAGAUGGCUACUCUCGCUCGGUCCUUACGAUGUGUUGCAUAUUUUAAGCCAUCCACAUUAAGUGCUUUAACACCUCGAGUCAUCUCAGCAGGCUGCUUGCAUACGCUUGAUACAAGACAAUUUAGAAUUAACAA